GACGAACGCUGGCGGCGUGCCUAAUACAUGCAAGUAGAACGCUGAAGGAGGAGCUUGCUUCUCCGGAUGAGUUGCGAACGGGUGAGUAACGCGUAGGUAACCUGCCUGGUAGCGGGGGAUAACUAUUGGAAACGAUAGCUAAUACCGCAUAAUAGUAGAUGUUGCAUGACAUUUGCUUAAAAGGUGCAAUUGCAUCACUACCAGAUGGACCUGCGUUGUAUUAGCUAGUUGGUGGGGUAACGGCUCACCAAGGCGACGAUACAUAGCCGACCUGAGAGGGUGAUCGGCCACACUGGGACUGAGACACGGCCCAGACUCCUACGGGAGGCAGCAGUAGGGAAUCUUCGGCAAUGGACGGAAGUCUGACCGAGCAACGCCGCGUGAGUGAAGAAGGUUUUCGGAUCGUAAAGCUCUGUUGUAAGAGAAGAACGAGUGUGAGAGUGGAAAGUUCACACUGUGACGGUAUCUUACCAGAAAGGGACGGCUAACUACGUGCCAGCAGCCGCGGUAAUACGUAGGUCCCGAGCGUUGUCCGGAUUUAUUGGACGUAAAGCGAGCGCAGGCGGUUAGAUAAGUCUGAAGUUAAAGGCUGUGGCUUAACCAUAGUACGCUUUGGAAACUGUUUAACUUGAGUGCAAGAGGGGAGAGUGGAAUUCCAUGUGUAGCGGUGAAAUGCGUAGAUAUAUGGAGGAACACCGGUGGCGAAAGCGGCUCUCUGGCUUGUAACUGACGCUGAGGCUCGAAAGCGUGGGGAGCAAACAGG
rnacentral:rRNA from 1 species